UAGCACCCCCUGGAUAUCAGUUGGAGAGGUGGUGCUCUUGAAUGCUUUCCUUGUGUUCGAUGGGCUUGUACGAAGUGCCCGAUUUUGUUGACCAGCUCUUGUGGAACAGCAAGUGACGUUCGCUGGCAUCUGGAGAUUUGUCACCUAGAGUCUGAGAUCAAAUGGAAAUGCGUUGCUUGUGUGGAACUACAAUAGAGUCAACAUUUAAUACAAGUGGACAUAUUCUUGACUUAUAAUACCGAAGUAGAUUAUGUACAAAGACCGUGGAGGCCUUGAUUUGUGCAGAAGAUUGGUUGCGAGAUCAGGCUGAAGGUAAUUUACUUAUUAUUAAUGUUUUUAAACAUAUUUUUUGUGUUACUUAUUUUAUUCUUUUGUUAGAUGAUUCUGAUUUGCCUAUACCCUUACCUGAAGAGGAAGCACCAUUUGAAUCUGCAUACAUUAAAACUGAAUCAUAAAUUAGAGGUUAAUUUGAUUGCAUCAUCCCCAGGAUCUUAUAGUAUCAACAUGGUUGAAAUAUAUAUCCAAAUAGAAAGAUCAUACCCAUUGUGUAAAAUGGAGGCAUUGGAAGAAAAAUUUUGUAAG